UACGUAGGGGGCUAGCGUUGUCCGGAUUUAUUGGGCGUAAAGAGCGUGUAGGCGGCCAUGUAGGUCCGGUGUGAAAACUCGAGGCUUAACCUCGAGAUGUCAUCGGAAACCAUUUGGCUAGAGUCCGGAAGAGGAGAGUGGAAUUCCUGGUGUAGCGGUGAAAUGCGCAGAUAUCAGGAAGAACACCAAUGGCGAAAGCAGCUCUCUGGACGGUACUGACGCUGAGACGCGAAAGCGUGGGGAGCGAACAGG
rnacentral:rRNA from 1 species